rnacentral:tRNA from 1 species
GGCGAGAUGGUCUAGUGGUAAGGACGAAGUGUUGAGUGCGUAAAGCCAGGAUCGAUUCCUGGUUGUGCCG